GAUCGAGGAGGACUCACUUCCCAGCCUCUGCCUUCCCCUUCCUCCCUCCCUCCCCUGGGCAGGUCACGACGCUGGUGUCCAGUGCAUUCCUCAUUGUCAAGGUCAUCCUCUCUGAGGUCAGUGGCUCAGGGUCUGGCCAGUCUGGUGGGCAUCAGACCUGAGUGGUAUGCUUCUAGAGAGGAGCAUUUCUCUAAUUUGGGGUGUCUGUCCCUGUUGUCCGGGUUAGGGGGAGAGGGAAUCCUGUCCUUUGGUAUCUAUAAGGAAUCAUCCUUCACCCGCUUCCCUGACUUAGCCCCUUGCAGCUCUAGGAAUCAGAAGGUUCUUUCUCCAGCCUAACCCCAGUUUAUCCUGCUGCAGACUUGAGAGGGUUCCCAAGCAGCUGCUACCAGGAAUGGGGUGUAUGCCAGUUUGACUGGCUAGAGUUGGUAGCCACAGAAGGGGGCUCUGGGUUUGGGGUGACCCCUGCCAUGGAGCUCAGCCCCCUCCCUUCACAGCUGCUCAGCAAAGGGGCAUUUGGCUACCUGCUCCCCAUCGUCUCUUUUGUCCUCGCCUGGUUGGAGACCUGGUUCCUUGACUUCAAAGUCCUACCCCAGGAAGCUGAAGAGGAGCGAUGUGAGUGCUUGCGGGUAGGGGGGUGCAGCGAGGGUUACCCCCAGCCCCAAGAGAGGGGAGUUGCGGGCAUGAGAGUCAGUCUGAAGCAUCUCGCCACCUCUGAGCAGCCUCCAGUAGCCUGAGGGGGAGCUUGGGUGGGGGUACCCCAGGCUGCUAGGGUGUAACUGUCCUUGGUCUGGGACUGAGUCUGCUCCUCCAGGGUAUCUUGCCGCCCAGGUUGCUGUUGCCCGUGGACCCCUGCUGUUCUCCGGUGCUCUGUCCGAGGGACAGUUCUAUUCACCCCCAGAAUCCUUUGCAGGGUCUGACAAUGAAUCAGAUGAAGAAGUUGCUGGAAAGAAAAGUUUCUCUGCUCAGGAGCGGGAGUACAUCCGCCAGGGGAAGGAGGCCACAGCAGUGGUGGACCAGAUCUUGGCCCAGGAAGAGAACUGGAAGUUUGAGAAGAAUAAUGUAAGAAGCCCUCUCCCACCUGACCUUCCCAUGCGUGUUAGGAGUUUCUGUUCUCUUUUCUGAGGCCUGAGGAAGAAACCCAAAGAUUACAUGGGUUGGAGCCAUAUUCCUGCCCCAAGAGAGGGAGCUGGGCCCUCGGGUCGGCAGGAGGCUGGGCUGGAUUGGACGUUUCCCCCGUGCCCCUUGGCCCCCCUUCCCCACACCCCCCAUCUUUACUUCCCUGCUGUUCUGCCCCCUUGGCUCCAGGCUUUGAAGGGGAAGCCAGGCUUCUGCUCUGCAUCCGUUGUUUCGUUUCAUGAUCAAAACAACAUUAUCUACAAAGAUCGUAGAGAGCUUGGAAAACAGAGAGCAACAUGCCCCAGUCCCUCUCUCUGGCCAGUUCUUGUGGCAGCCCCAUUGGCCUGGAGACAUGGUUUUUUGUGGUUGCAGCUGCAGCUGUCCCCCCGUCUUUUAACUCGACAUCAAAAGCCUCUCCUGCCAGUGCCAUAGGUUUGUUAGAGCUACUGUUUUGUAACAGCUGCUCAGGUGUCCCCAAACUCCUGGAGUUUUCCACCCUGAGCUGUUAAAAACCUGCCCUGCCUGUCACCCAUUUCUGUGCCACCAGCCCACCCCCUGCCUCCACUCUCCUCCCUGCCACCUUCUGUCCCUGCCACAGGAAUAUGGGGACACCGUGUACACCAUUGAAGUUCCCUUUCACGGCAAGACGUUUAUCCUGAAGGUGAGUGAGGGGAGCGGGUGUCCUGGAGCCCCAGACAGCACAGGAGGCUCCAGGAAGGUGCCGAGGGGCCCUCUGGUGGGUGCCCCCCACCAAGAGGGAAGGGUUGGUCUGCCCGAGCCCAUCUGGCACCACCCAGCCCUCUGCCGCCCUGUCCCAGACCUUCCUGCCCUGUCCUGCGGAGCUCGUGUACCAGGAGGUGAUCCUGCAGCCCGAGAGGAUGGUGCUGUGGAACAAGACAGUGACUGCCUGCCAGAUCCUGCAGCGAGUGGAAGACAACACCCUCAUCUCCUAUGACGUGUCUGCAGGGGCUGCGGGCGGCGUGGUCUCCCCAAGGGACUUCGUGAAUGUCCGGCGCAUUGAGCGGCGCAGGGACCGAUACUUGUCAUCAGGGAUCGCCACCUCACACAGUGCCAAGCCCCCGACGCACAAAUAUGUCCGGGGAGAGAAUGGCCCUGGGGGCUUCAUCGUGCUCAAGUCGGCCAGUAACCCCCGUGUCUGCACCUUUGUCUGGAUUCUUAAUACAGAUCUCAAGGUGGGGUGCUGGGGGGCUGCCAGGUGGGUUCUGUGGAGUGGAGGGGACCCUGCUGCUGACUUGGUUGCUGCAUGACUUUGGGGGCUCUCUGCCAUGCCUGGGCCUCCCCUUUGUCAGCCUCCUUUCUUACUUGAAAAUUUGGGUCAGGGUCCAGAUGGUCUCUUAGCCCUGGGUUGCUGUAGGGCAUGUGCCCCCCCUUCUUACCUCUGAGUCCUGAGGCCCUGAGGAAGGGUGGCUGGUGGCCAGCCCGGCCCCACCCUGGUCUGUUUGUGUGGCUGGUGCCAAGAGCCAGGCCCAGCAUGUUCUUCCUGCCAGGGGUGAGUGGGAGAGGGCGGCCCAGGCUGGAUUCCAGAGCUGCACCUGCAUUCUGGCCCAGAGCCCCCCUGCUGGUGCCAGCUGCAAGGGGAGACCCUGCUGAGGGCAGGCCAUCAAGUGUGACUUCUGCCUGCCUUCCCCCAGGGCCGCCUGCCCCGGUACCUCAUCCACCAGAGCCUCGCGGCCACCAUGUUUGAAUUUGCCUUUCACCUGCGACAGCGCAUCAGCGAGCUGGGGGCCCGGGCAUGACUGUGCCCCCUCCCACCCUGCAGGCCAGGGUCCUGUCGCCACCACUUCCAGAGCCAGAAAGGGUGCCAGUUGGGCUCGCGCUGCCCACAUGGGACCUGGCCCCAGGCUGUCACCCUCCACCGAGCCACGCAGUGCCUGGAGUUGACUGUCUGAGCAGGCUGUGGGGUGGAGCACUGGACUCCGGGGCCCCACUGGCUGGAGGAAGUGGGGUCUGGCCUGUUGAUGUUUACAUGGUGCCCUGCCUCCUGGAGGAGCAGAUUGCUCUGCCCCGCCUUGCCAGGGCAGGGUCUGGGCUGGGCACCUGACUUGGCUGGGGAGGACCAGGGCCCUGGGCAGGGCAGGGCAGCCUGUCACCCAUGUGAAGAUGAAGGGGCUCUUCAUCUGCCUGCGCUCUCGUCGGUUUUUUUAGGAUUAUUGAAAGAGUCUGGGACCCUUGUUGGGGAGUGGGUGGCAGGUGGGGAUGGGCUGCUGGCCAUGAAUCUCUGCCUCUCCCAGGCUGUCCCACUCCUCCCAGGGCCUCCUGGGGGACCUUUGUAUUAAGCCAAUUAAAAACAUGAAUUAAAAAAAAAAAAAA
rnacentral:sRNA from 1 species